GAUGAACGCUGGCGGCGUGCCUAAUACAUGCAAGUCGAGCGAACAGACGAGGAGCUUGCUCCUCUGACGUUAGCGGCGGACGGGUGAGUAACACGUGGGUAACCUACCUAUAAGACUGGGAUAACUUCGGGAAACCGGAGCUAAUACCGGAUAAUAUAUUGAACCGCAUGGUUCAAUAGUGAAAGACGGUUUUGCUGUCACUUAUAGAUGGAUCCGCGCCGCACUAGCUAGUUGGUAAGGUAACGGCUUACCAAGGCAACGAUGCGUAGCCGACCUGAGAGGGUGAUCGGCCACACUGGAACUGAGACACGGUCCAGACUCCUACGGGAGGCAGCAGUAGGGAAUCUUCCGCAAUGGGCGAAAGCCUGACGGAGCAACGCCGCGUGAGUGAUGAAGGUCUUCGGAUCGUAAAACUCUGUUAUUAGGGAAGAACAAAUGUGUAAGUAACUAUGCACGUCUUGACGGUACCUAAUCAGAAAGCCACGGCUAACUACGUG
rnacentral:rRNA from 1 species